CAAUAGCGUAUAUUAAAGUUGUUGCGGUUAAAAAGCUCGUAGUUGGAUUUCUGCCGAGGACGACCGGUCCGCCCUCUGGGUGAGUAUCUGGCUCGGCCUGGGCAUCUUCUUGGAGAACGUAGCUGCACUUGACUGUGUGGUGCGGUAUCCAGGACUUUUACUUUGAGGAAAUUAGAGUGUUUCAAGCAGGCUUUCGCCUUGAAUACAUUAGCAUGGAAUAAUAAGAUAGGACUUUGGUCUAUUUUGUUGGUUUGCAGACCGAAGUAAUGAUUAAUAGGGAUAGUUGGGGGUAUUUAUAUUCCGAUGUCAGAGGUGAAAUUCUUAGAUUUUCGGAAGAUAAGCUUAUGCGAAAGCAUUUACCAAGGAUGUUUUCAUUAA
rnacentral:rRNA from 1 species